AUUGAACGCUGGCGGCGUGCUUAACACAUGCAAGUCGAUCGGUAACAGGUGUAGCAAUACAUGCUGACGAGAGGCGGACGGGUGAGUAAUGCUUGGGAAUCUGCCUAUUAGUGGGGGACAACCCGGGGAAACUCGGGCUAAUACCGCAUACGCUCUACGGAGGAAAGCCGGGGACCGCAAGGCCUGGCGCUAAUAGAUGAGCCCAAGUCGGAUUAGCUAGUUGGUAGGGAACGGCCUACCAAGGCGACAAUCCGUAGCUGGUCUGAGAGGACGACCAGCCACACCGGAACUGAGACACGGUCCGGACUCCUACGGGAGGCAGCAGUGGGGAAUAUUGGACAAUGGGGGCAACCCUGAUCCAGCGACGCCGCGUGGGUGAAGAAGGCCUGCGGGUUGUAAAGCCCGUUUCGGUGGGGAAGAAAAGUCUCGACCUAAUACGUCGGGACCUUGACCGUAACCCACUAAAGAAGCACCGGCUAACUCUGUGCCAGCAGCCGCU
rnacentral:rRNA from 1 species